rnacentral:rRNA from 1 species
UGUCGUCAGCUCGUGUCGUGAGAUGUUGGGUUAAGUCCCGCAACGAGCGCAACCCCUACGUUUAGUUGCUAACGCGUGAAGGCGAGCACUCUAGGACGAACUGCCGUUGACAAAACGGAGGAAGGUGGGAUGACGUCAAAUCAUCAUGCCCCUUAUGUUCUGGGCUACACACGUGCUACAAUGGCCGGUACAGACGGACGCAAAGCCGCGAGGUGGAGCAAAUCCUAAAAAAGCCGGUCUCAGUUCGGAUUGCAGGCUGCAAUUCGCCUGCAUGAAGUCGGAAUCGCUAGUAAUCGCAGGUCAGCAUACUGCGGUGAAUACGUUCCCGGGCCUU